GGGACGGUGGGGGUGGCAGGGCCCACCGGCUUGAGGCUGCCUUUCCCGGCGUUCCCUCGUUUAUUGGCUCACUCUUCCUUUCAUCCAUCCAUCCUUUGCGCAACAAUAUUUGAUGGGAAGCCUGCCAAGGAAUUAAAUUUUGUUCAGACAUCCACUCUUCACCUUCCCAGCCCCUGUUUGCCUGUAACUACAAAGCAGAGGCAGGGAGAAAGACACAUGGGCAGGAGAAUACCACAUGGAGACACAGACACACGAGGGGAGGAUGCCUGCUGACCAUGGAGGCAGAAGUGGGACUGACGCAUCGAUCAGCUGAGGGAUGCCAAGCACUGCCAGCAAACACCAGAGGCUUGAUGGGGGCGAGUAUUCUCCUGUGCAGGUAUCAGAGGGAGCCUGGCCUUGCAGAUACCUUGAUUCCUGACUUCUGGCCUCUAAAAUGGUGAGAGAAUGAACUUCUGUUGUUUUAAGCCCCCCAGGUUUGGUACUUUGUUAUGAUGGCCCUGGGAAACUAGCACAGCUCUCAUCUCUUGCCCUAAGUGAACUUAUCCAUCUCCAUAAUUUAAAAACCAUCUGUUUGCUGAUGAUUCCCAAGUAAUACAGUAAAGCUACAUUAGAUGAAAA
ensembl:lncRNA AGK-DT AGK divergent transcript